AAUAGCAGCAUUGUUAAUGCUGCUCCUACUCUGCGUCACAGAAGGUGGACGGUAUUCAAAAAGUCCAUUUAAAUAUGUGAUGUUCUGUCCGGACGGAGAAGUUCAUGAUAAGUUAAUAUCUAAUCCAAUCAGAUACACAUGUAAACCAGGACCAGGAAGAAACGUAAAAUGUCAAACUUUAUUUUAUAAUUUGAAAGGAUAUUUUGAAUGUCCAGGAAAAGGCUAUAUGAGUGGCUUUGAGUAUACUAUGGGAUAUGGUGAGAACGUUCGGUGCUGUCAGGACCGAGAUAUCACAUACUCUAAGGAAGACUGUACAGUACAACUUAACAAUGAUUUGAUAAAUGGGCGAUCAUACAGAAUAUCUAAAGGGAAAGUUAUGGUUGGUUCGAAAACCUUAGACGGCGGGAGAACCUGGUACAACACGGAGUGCUCAUUUCGUCCAAAACGAAAGUAUUAAAAGAUAGAGAAAGACAAUCUACACAAACGAA